rnacentral:rRNA from 1 species
CCUACGGGUGGCAGCAGUGAGGAAUAUUGGUCAAUGGGCGCGAGCCUGAACCAGCCAAGUCGCGUGAAGGAUGACUGCCCUACGGGUUGUAAACUUCUUUUAUAAAGGAAUAAAGUGAGGCACGUGUGCCUUUUUGUAUGUACUUUAUGAAUAAAGAUCGGCUAACCACGUGCCAGCAACCGCGGUAAUACCGAGGUUCGGAGCGUUAUCCGGAUUUAUUGGGGUUAAAGGGAGCGUAGAUGGGUUGUUAAGUCAGUUGUGAAAGUUCGCGGCUCAACCGUAAAAUGGCAAUUGAGACUGGCAGUCUUGAGUGCAGUAGAGGUAGGCGGAAUUCGUGGUGUAGCGGUGAAAUGCUUAGAUAUCACGAAGAACUCCGAUUGCGAAGGCAGCUUACUAGACUGCCACUGACAUUGAUGCUCGAAAGUGUGGGUAUCAAACAGGAUUAGAUACCCCUGUAGUC